UCUUCCACAAUGGGCGCAAGCCUGAUGGAGCAACGCCGCGUGUGUGAUGAAGGGUUUCGGCUNGUAAAACACUGUUAUAAGAGAANNCCNNNANUGAGAGUAACUGUUCAGUGUGUGACGGUAUCUUACCNNNANGNAACGGCUAAAUACGUGCCAGCAGCCGCGGUAAUACGUAUGUUCCAAGCGUUAUCCGGAUUUAUUGGGCGUAAAGCGAGCGCAGACGGUUAUUUAAGUCUGAAGUGAAAGCCCUCAGCUCAACUGAGGAAUGGCUUUGGAAACUGGAUGACUUGAGUGCAGUAGAGGAAAGUGGAACUCCAUGUGUAGCGGUGAAAUGCGUAGAUAUACGGAAGAACACCAGUGGCGAAGGCGGCUUUCUGGACUGUAACUGACGUUGAGGCUCGAAAGUGUGGGUAGCAAACAG
rnacentral:rRNA from 1 species